rnacentral:rRNA from 1 species
GAUGAACGCUGGCGGCGUGCCUAACACAUGCAAGUCGAACGAACGGACGAGAAGCUUGCUUCUCUGACGAUAGCGGCAGACGUGUGUGUAACACGUGGAAAACCCACCUGUAAGACGGGGAUCAUUUCGGGAAACCGGAGCUAACACGGGAUGAUAUUCUGAACCACAUGGUUCAAAGGUGAAAGACGGUGUUGCGGGAAGUAAUAGAUGGAUCUGCGCUGGAUGAGCUAGUUGGUGAGGUAACGGCUUACCAAGGCAACUAGGCAUAGACGACCUGAGAGAGUGGUCGGCGACCCGGGAACUGAGACGCGCUCCAGACUCCUACGGGAGGCAGCAGUAGGGAAUCUUCCGCAAUGGGCGAGAGCCUGACGGAGCAACGCGGCGUGAGUGAUGACGGUCUUCGGAUCGUAAAGCUCUGUUAUUAGGGAAGAACAUAUGUGUAAGUAGCUGUGCACAUCUUGACGGUACCUGAUCAGGAAGCCACGGCUAACUACGUG